AUUGAACGCUGGCGGCAGGCCUAACACAUGCAAGUCGAACGGUAACAGGGAUCAGCUUGCUGAUUCGCUGACGAGUGGCGGACGGGUGAGUAAUGUCUGGGAAACUGCCUGAUGGAGGGGGAUAACUACUGGAAACGGUAGCUAAUACCGCAUAACGUCGCAAGCCCAAAGAGGGGGACCUUCGGGCCUCUUGCCUUCGGAUGUGCCCAGAUGGGAUUAGCUAGUAGGUGGGGUAACGGCUCACCUAGGCGACGAUCCCUAGCUGGUCUGAGAGGAUGACCAGCCACACUGGAACUGAGACACGGUCCAGACUCCUACGGGAGGCAGCAGUAGGGAAUAUUGCACAAUGGGCGAAAGCCUGAUGCAGCCAUGCCGCGUGUAUGAAGAAGGCCUUCGGGUUGUAAAGUACUUUUAGCGGGGAGGAAGGGAGUAAAGUUAAUACCUUUGCUCAUUGACGUUACCCGCAGAAGAAGCACCGGCUAACUCCGUG
rnacentral:rRNA from 1 species